CCUACGGGUGGCAGCAGUGAGGAAUAUUGGGCAAUGGGCGCAAGCCUGACCCAGCAACGCCGCGUGAAGGAAGAAGGCUUUCUGGUUGGAAACUUCUUUUUUCAGGGACGAAGCACGUGACGGUCGCGGACGAAUAAGCCACGGCUGACUACAGGCCAGCAGCCGCGUCACUACGUGGGUGGUAGGGGUUAUCCGGAUUUAAUGGGUGUAAAGGGCGUGUAGGCGGGGAAGCAAGUCAGAUGUGAAAUCCACGGGCUUCACCGGUGGCCUGCAUUUGAAACUGUUUUUCUUGAGUGCGGGAGAGGUAAGCGGAAUGCGGGGUGUAGCGGUGAAAUGCGUAGAUAUACGGAGGAACACCAGUGGCGAAGGCGGAUUGCUGGACAGUAACUGACGCUGAGGCGCGAAAGCGUGGGGAGCAAACAGGAUUAGAUACCCUAGUAGUC
rnacentral:rRNA from 1 species